UGACAUUUGAUGCCCUCUCCACCAA
rnacentral:piRNA from 1 species